GUUGUGUCGAUGGACAAUAUGGUCUACCAGCUCCUAUGCCCAAAGAUGGCUGCUAUGAACAUAAAAAUUCAACCUGGUGUAUCUGUAAUGGCGACCAAUGUAACGCCGUUCCUUUCGGAAAUUGGACAGGGAUUGAUAUAUUUGCUCAUCUAAAUGGUCCAAAGAAAUGUUACACAUGUGGACAAACUGUGGAUGGCGAGUAUUAUUCAUAUUGUCCUUCGAAUACAACAGUAAAUGAAACUGCUGCUGGUAAACAAAGUUGUGAGGGAUAUUGUUUAACUCGUACAGAAUCUACACAACCAGAUAUGGUAUAUCGUGGAUGUCUGGAUUCUAUAAAAGGAUUACCAUACCCACUGCCACCAACUGGGUGUUACCCUUACAGAAACGAAACAUGGUGCAUAUGUAAUGGCAACCUUUG